AGCGAACGCUGGCGGCAGGCCUAACACAUGCAAGUCGAACGAACUCUUCGGAGUUAGUGGCGGACGGGUGAGUAACACGUGGGAACGUGCCUUUUGGUUCGGAAUAACUCAGGGAAACUUGUGCUAAUACCGAAUGUGCCCUUCGGGGGAAAGAUUUAUCGCCAUUAGAGCGGCCGGCGUCUGAUUAGCUAGUUGGUGAGGUAACGGCUCACCAAGGCGACGAUCAGUAGCUGGUCUGAGAGGAUGACCAGCCACACUGGGACUGAGACACGGCCCAGACUCCUACGGGAGGCAGCAGUGGGGAAUCUUGCGCAAUGGGCGAAAGCCUGACGCAGCCAUGCCGCGUGAAUGAUGAAGGUCUUAGGAUUGUAAAAUUCUUUCACCGGGGACGAUAAUGACGGUACCCGGAGAAGAAGCCCCGGCUAACUUCGUG
rnacentral:rRNA from 1 species